GACAGAGGGUGCAAGCGUUGUUCGGAAUUACUGGGCGUAAAGCGCACGUAGGCGGCUUUGUAAGUUAGAGGUGAAAGCCCGGGGCUCAACUCCGGAAUUGCCUUUAAAACUGCAUCGCUAGAAUUGUGGAGAGGUAAGUGGAAUUCCGAGUGUAGAGGUGAAAUUCGUAGAUAUUCGGAAGAACACCAGUGGCGAAGGCGACUUACUGGACACAUAUUGACGCUGAGGUGCGAAAGCGUGGGGAGCAAACAGG
rnacentral:rRNA from 1 species